rnacentral:tmRNA from 1 species
GGGGGUGCAUUGGUUUCGACUUGGAAGCUAAGUACCGAUGGCAUGCAGAGGGUUCGGUUGGCCUCUUAAAAAAGCCGAAACGACAUUAACUGUCAAAAAACAAAAAACUGUAAGCAUCGCUUCUCACGCCGGUUACACCGUUGCUGAUAAAGCGACUGCUGCGGCUGCUGCAUAAGACCUAACCCGUCUAUUGCAACCGAUAGCCUAGAAUUUGACCAGGGAUUUUAGACCUAUCGUAAGAGAUCUUGGUAUGAGCCCUAUUGCUUGACUUCCAGCGGCGGGGCCUCGAGAUAAAAGGAAGUGUGCAAGCUCCGAGUGGGGCGCCUUACAGCAAAGCUUGCACUAAAUUUAAGACGCUAAGCAUGUAGGCAUUGUUAUGGCGUUUGCCAAGGACGAGAGUUCGAUUCUCUCCA